UCUCCGUUGGUGAACCAGCGGAGGGAUCAUUACCGAGUUUACAACUCCCAAACCCCUGUGAACAUACCAUUUGUUGCCUCGGCGGUGCCUGCUUCGGCAGCCCGCCAGAGGACCCAAACCCUUGAUUUUAUACAGUAUCUUCUGAGUAAAUGAUUAAAUAAGUCAAAACUAUCAACAACGGAUCUCUUGGUUCUG
rnacentral:misc_RNA from 1 species